AUUGAACGCUGGCGGCAGGCCUAACACAUGCAAGUCGAACGGUAACAGGAAGAAGCUUGCUUCUUUGCUGACGAGUGGCGGACGGGUGAGUAAUGUCUGGGAAACUGCCUGAUGGAGGGGGAUAACUACUGGAAACGGUGGCUAAUACCGCAUAACGUCGCAAGACCAAAGAGGGGGACCUUCGGGCCUCUUGCCAUCGGAUGUGCCCAGAUGGGAUUAGCUAGUAGGUGGGGUAACGGCUCACCUAGGCGACGAUCCCUAGCUGGUCUGAGAGGAUGACCAGCCACACUGGAACUGAGACACGGUCCAGACUCCUACGGGAGGCAGCAGUGGGGAAUAUUGCACAAUGGGCGCAAGCCUGAUGCAGCCAUGCCGCGUGUAUGAAGAAGGCCUUCGGGUUGUAAAGUACUUUCAGCGGGGAGGAAGGGAGUAAAGUUAAUACCUUUACUCAUUGACGUUACCCGCAGAAGAAGCACCGGCUAACUCCGUG
rnacentral:rRNA from 1 species